GAUGAACGCUGACAGAAUGCUUAACACAUGCAAGUCAACUUGAAUUUGGGUUUUUAACUUAAGUUUGGGUGGCGGACGGGUGAGUAACGCGUAAAGAACUUGCCUCACAGCUAGGGACAACAUUUGGAAACGAAUGCUAAUACCUAAUAUUAUGAUAAUAGGGCAUCCUAUAAUUAUGAAAGCUAUAAGCGCUGUGAGAGAGCUUUGCGUCCCAUUAGCUAGUUGGAGAGGUAACGGCUCACCAAGGCGAUGAUGGGUAGCCGGCCUGAGAGGGUGAUCGGCCACAAGGGGACUGAGACACGGCCCUUACUCCUACGGGAGGCAGCAGUGGGGAAUAUUGGACAAUGGACCAAGAGUCUGAUCCAGCAAUUCUGUGUGCACGAUGAAGUUUUUCGGAAUGUAAAGUGCUUUCAGUUGGGAAGAAAGAAAUGACGGUACCAACAGAAGAAGUGACGGCUAAAUACGUGCCAGCAGCCGCGGUAAUACGUAUGUCACGAGCGUUAUCCGGAUUUAUUGGGCGUAAAGCGCGUCUAGGUGGUUAUGUAAGUCUGAUGUGAAAAUGCAGGGCUCAACUCUGUAUUGCGUUGGAAACUGUAUAACUAGAGUACUGGAGAGGUAAGCGGAACUACAAGUGUAGAGGUGAAAUUCGUAGAUAUUUGUAGGAAUGCCGAUGGGGAAGCCAGCUUACUGGACAGAUACUUGACGCUGAAGCGCGAAAGCGUGGGUAGCAAACAGG
rnacentral:rRNA from 1 species